rnacentral:rRNA from 1 species
CGGAGGAUCCGAGCGUUAUCCGGAUUUAUUGGGUUUAAAGGGUGCGUAGGCGGCCUGUUAAGUCAGGGGUGAAAGACGGUAGCUCAACUAUCGCAGUGCCCUUGAUACUGAUGGGCUUGAAUGUACUAGAGGUAGGCGGAAGUGUGACAAGUAGCGGUGAAAUGCAUAGAUAUGUCACAGAACACCAAUUGCGAAGGCAGCUUACUAUGGUAUUAUUGACGCUGAGGCACGAAAGCGUGGGGAUCAAACAGGAUUAGAUACCCUGGUAGUCCACGCCCUAAACGAUGAAUACUCGAUGUUAGCGAUAUACAGUUAGCGUCAAAGCGAAAGCGUUAAGUUAUUCCACCGUGGGGAGUACGCCCGCAAGGGUG